rnacentral:siRNA from 1 species
ACCAAAGGAUCUGCCACUCGCCGU